AGCCUCAUAGCUCAAUCGUCAGAGCAUCCGGCUUUGAACCGGAAGGCUGGUGGUGCGACUCCACCUGAGGCUGCCA
rnacentral:tRNA from 2 species